rnacentral:rRNA from 1 species
UACGUAGGCAGCAAGCGUUGUUCGGAGUUACUGGGCUUAAAGGGUGUGUAGGCGGUUGCUUAAGUUUGGUGUGAAAUCUCCCGGCUCAACUGGGAGGGUGCGCCGAAUACUGAGUGACUCGAGUGCGGGAGAGGAAAGUGGAAUUCCUGGUGUAGCGGUGAAAUGCGUAGAUAUCAGGAGGAACACCCAUGGCGAAGGCAGUUCACUGGCAGUCUCCUGACGCUGAGGCGCGAAAGCGUGGGUAGCAAACAGG